rnacentral:rRNA from 1 species
UACAGAGGCCUCGAGCGUUAAUCGGAGUCACUGGGCUUAAAGGGUGCGUAGGCGGCGCCGCAAGUGUCUUGUGAAAUCCCACGGCUCAACCGUGGAAUUGCUCGACAGACUGCGGUGCUUGAGGUUGGUAGGGGUCGCUGGAACUCUAGGUGGAGCGGUGAAAUGCGUAGAUAUCUAGAGGAACGCCGAAGGUGAAGACAGGCGACUGGGCCAAUUCUGACGCUGAGGCACGAAAGCGUGGGGAGCGAACGGG